rnacentral:sRNA from 1 species
GCUGGGCGUGGUGGUGGGCGCCUGUAAUCCCAGCUACUUGGGAGGCUGAGGCAAGAGAAUUGCUUGAACCUGGGAGGUGGAGGUUGCAGUGAGCUGAGAUUGCGCCAUUGCACUCCAGCCUGGGUGACAGAGCGAGACUCUCAAAAAAAAAAAAAAAAAAAAAUUUGAGACAGGGUCUUGUUCUGUCUCCCAGGCUGGACUGCAGUGGUGCGAUCUUGGCUCACUGCAACCUCUGGCUCCCGGGCUCAAGUGAUUCUACCACCUUAGCCUCC